AAGUGUGUGACUGUGAUUCAGUGGUUGAACAUCUGUUUUGCAUACAGAAGGUCCCAUGUUCAAUCUCUGGCACAUUCA
rnacentral:tRNA from 1 species